GAGUUUGAUCGUGGCUCAGAACGAACGCUGGCGGCAGGCCUAACACAUGCAAGUCGAGCGCCCCGCAAGGGGAGCGGCGCACGGGUGAGCAACGCGUGGGAAUAUGCCCUGGGGCUGGGGAUAACGGCGGGAAACUGCCGCUAAUACCCGGUACGCCUUGAGAGGGAAAGGAGCAAUCCGCCCUGGGAGUAGCCCGCGUUGGAUUAGCUAGUUGGUGUGGUAAGAGCGCACCAAGGCGACGAUCCAUAGCUGGUCUGAGAGGAUGAUCAGCCACACUGGGACUGAGACACGGCCCAGACUCCUACGGGAGGCAGCAGUGGGGAAUAUUGGACAAUGGGGGCAACCCUGAUCCAGCCAUGCCGCGUGAGUGAAGAAGGCCUUAGGGUUGUAAAGCUCUUUCGACGGGGACGAUGAUGACGGUACCCGUAGAAGAAGCCCCGGCUAACUUCGUGCCAGCAGCCGCA
rnacentral:rRNA from 1 species